AUAUAUGUGUUAGGAUUAGCCCCAAAUAUCUUGAAUUAGACUCUAAUUUUAUAUUUUAGAGUCUGAUACAAUUAGGCUCUAAGUUUAUGUAUUAGAGCUUAGUCACAUUUGAUUUUGGUUCAUCUCAAGGUGAAAUAUUAACUAAAUCCUAAUUAUAUGUAUUAGGAUUAGUCAGAUUUGAUUUAAAUUAAACUCCAAGUGUAUGUAUUGGAAUCCAACAAAUUAAUUUGAUCAGAUAGUUUGAUCAAUUCUAAAUAUAGGUUUAGAAUUUGAUCAAGUUUGAACAUGAUUGUGAUUUGACUCUAGUUUUAUAUGCUAGAGAAUCGAAUAUUUUGGGAAUUGGGAUGUUCGUGAAAAUUGAACUUGAGUUUAGUUUAACGACAUUUCGGUCAGUAUCGGAUUUAGGUUUAGUUUAACGACGUUUCGGUCGGUUGAUUUGGUGGAUUAGUUUAACGACGUUUCGGUCGAUUGAUUUGGUGGAUUAGUUUAACGAUGUUUCGGUCGGUUGAUUUGGGUUUGGUUCACAAGGUUUAUGGUAUUGGGUAUAUGGGAUUAUGGUUCAUGGACUUAUGGUUCAUGGGUUUAUGGUUCAUGAACUUGGUGUAUGGUUUGUGGUUUAUGGUUCAUGGACUUGGUUAAGGUUAUGGGCUUGGAUAUGGGUUAAAUGUGUAUGGGUUCAUGGGUAAAUGUAUAUAGGUUUAUGUAUAUGGGUUUAUGGGUAAAUGGGCUCUGGGCUUUGGACUAGGCCUAGAUUUA
rnacentral:lncRNA from 1 species